UUUUUAUUUUCUCACACUGCUGAGAAAUAUUGUUGCACUUUUUAAAAAUUGUUCAAGUAAAUUACAGUAUACGUUUCCAUUUCAUGGGUGGACCAAGCUAAUCAGAAAUUAGGUUUUGGUCUUUUUGUUUUUUUUAAACAUGUUCAUUUGCACUGAAAAAUCUUACACUGUGAUGAUCAUUAUUAUUAUUAUUUGUGCUCUUUUGUUUUUGAAUGAGACUUUACAAAAUAAAGAUUUAUAUUAAAUCUGAAGGAGUAUUCAUAGCCACAUAUAAAUUACUUUCUAAAUUCUGAUUCAUUCUGAAAGGAGCCUCAACCAACUGCUGAGUGCAAAAACAACAUUUUUAAAGGGUCUGGAUUUAAAAUCCUUUGCUACCUUAGGAAAUAUUUUAAUAAUGUGAGAUACAGGUUUAUGAUUUUCAUGACACACAAGUUAAUCAAAUAUCUAAAAAUCUUUAAAAUAUUUCUCAUCACAUGAACAGAAUAUAUCAAAGUGAAGAAAUUCACUUUUCAAAAAUAAAUAUAUAUAUAUUUGAUGCUUUUGAGUUCAGUGCUUUUUGGUUUUUUUUUCAUUUUCUUUUGUUUUAGUCAUCAAAGUUCUGAUACAGACACAGACUGUAUCAACAAUCAACUAUCAAAAGUCAGUGAGUAAAAGCUAAAAAAUAAUUCCAUAAAUUGCCAUUAACAUUAGGGGUAUAACUGAAUUUACAGUACUGUGCAAAAGUUUUGAUUCACUCAUGUCUUUAUUUUGCUUUCAAGGCACCUUCUUGUAAUUUUUAAAGGAACCUUAAGCAGUCAUUCACCAGGCUUUCUGAAGAUCUUUCAAAAACCUAUUUGCAGUCCAGUCAAUGUACCUGAUCAUUUUCAGAGGAGAAUAGAUUUUUUUGUUAAACCACUUAUGGAACCAUUCAAGGAUUUAAAAUGCAUGAUGAAUCGGUGUUUCAUCUACGAAUAAGAGACAACUUAAAUUGUGUAUGUAUGUUUUGGCACUUUGUUACUUCCUGCCUAAAAAAAAAAAAGUACUUUAUUUUCCUUUUUUUGCUUGAAUCUGUGAAAAUGCUUAAAAAAAAACCCCACCACUUUGAGAGAUAUGGAGGAGAGUUGUACAUGUGCACCAACUAACUGAAUCAAAGAGCUACUAGUUAAAUACCUGGCAUGUCUUAGCGUGGUGUGCUAUUGGAUAAAACUGGACAAGUGGAAGACAAAAACAGGAAGUGGCAGGCCUAAUAAAAUAAAGCAAGUGUGCACAGCCAUCAGUAACACAUGGUGGGGCCUCUGUCGUGGUUUGGAGCUGCAUUUCAGUCCUUGGUACUCGGGUUCUUGUCAAAAUUGAGUGAAUUAUGAACACAGAAAACUACCGUUUUGAUCCACCAUGAAUUCCAUCUGGAACAGAUCUUAGCAAUGCCUUAAUUUUUCAUGGUGACAAUGAUCCCACACACAGCUCCAGUGCAGUAAAAGCAUACAUGGAUGGAAAAACACACAAUGGAACACCAUCAGUCCUCUAUUCGUCUUCCCAGAGCCCAGACCUCAACAUUAUUGAAGGAGUGUGGGAUCAUCUUUAGCCAGAACAGAACAAGAGACAUUGCAUUAAAAAAAUCAAGUAUUUUUUUUUUUCCAAAUACAUUAGAAAUGUACAAACUCUGUUUUUGUUUUAUAUACUGGAUGUUUCAAUAAAUCACUGUCCCCAUUUCCCAUUUUCAUAGCAAAAUAUAAUGAAAAGAGUAGUAGCUUGAGAUAUUUGCACAGUACUCUAGAUCCGGAUAUUCUACAGACAUGAUAUCCCAGAUAUGAAAUGUCAAGCUCACAGCCUGAGAACUGUGAUGCUCAUGUCCUACAUGUAUUGUUUUAGUUGUAUUAUGAGCAUUUGACAUUUAAGACAGCCAAUGUCUUAAAAUUAUAUCACAAUAAUUAAGAGUAAGUAGUGAUAAGGUAAUAAAAUGGUCUAAC
ensembl:lncRNA